rnacentral:lncRNA from 1 species
CUGACAAUCUAGGAUUCUUCUUCACCUCAUUGAGCAGUCUGCGCUGUGCUCUUGCAGUCAUCUUUUCAGGACAGCCACUCCUAGGGAGAGUAGCAGCAGUGCUGAACUUUCUCCAUUUAUAGACAAUUUGUCUUACCGUGUACUGAUGAACAGCAAGGCUUUUGGAGAUACUUUUAUAACCCUUUCCAGCUUUAUGCAAGUCAACAAUUCUUAAUCGUAGGUCUUCUGAGAGCUCUUUUGUGCGAGGCAUCAUUCACAUCAUGCAAUGCUUCUUGUGAAAA